AUUGAACGCUGGCGGCAGGCCUAACACAUGCAAGUCGAACGGUAGCACAGAGGAGCUUGCUUCUUGGGUGACAAGUGGCGGACGGGUGAGUAAUGUCUGGGAAACUGCCCGAUGGAGGGGGAUAACUACUGGAAACGGUAGCUAAUACCGCAUAACGUCGCAAGACCAAAGAGGGGGACCUUCGGGCCUCUUGCCAUCGGAUGUGCCCAGAUGGGAUUAGCUGGUAGGUGGGGUAACGGCUCACCUAGGCGACGAUCCCUAGCUGGUCUGAGAGGAUGACCAGCCACACUGGAACUGAGACACGGUCCAGACUCCUACGGGAGGCAGCAGUGGGGAAUAUUGCACAAUGGGCGCAAGCCUGAUGCAGCCAUGCCGCGUGUAUGAAGAAGGCCUUCGGGUUGUAAAGUACUUUCAGCGGGGAGGAAGGCGACACGGUUAAUAACCGUGUCGAUUGACGUUACCCGCAGAAGAAGCACCGGCUAACUCCGUG
rnacentral:rRNA from 1 species